CUCGUAGGUGGCCAACUAAGUCAGACGUGAAAUCCCUCGGCUUAACCGGGGAACUGCGUCUGAUACUGGAUGGCUUGAGAUUGGGAGAGGGAUGCGGAAUUCCAGGUGUAGCGGUGAAAUGCGUAGAUAUCUGGAGGAACACCGGUGGCGAAGGCGGCAUCCUGGACCAACACUGACGCUGAGGAGCGAAAGCCAGGGGAGCAAACGGGAUUAGAUACCCCGGUAGUCCUGGCCCUAAACGAUGAAUGCUUGGUGUGGCGGGUAUCGAUCCCUGCCGUGCCGAAGCUAACGCAUUAAGCAUUCCGCCUGGGGAGUACGGUCGCAAGGCUGAA
rnacentral:rRNA from 1 species